rnacentral:rRNA from 1 species
UUAAUUUGAGAGUUNGAUCCUGGCUCAGGACGAACGCUNGCGGCGUGCCUNNNACAUGCAAGUCGAACGAACUCUGGUAUUGAUUGGUGCUUGCAUCAUGAUUUACANNUGAGUGAGUGGCGAACUGGUGAGUAACACGUGGGAAACCUGCCCAGAAGCGGGGGAUAACACCUGGAAACAGAUGCUAAUACCGCAUAACAACNNGGACCGCANGGNCCGAGCNNGAAAGAUGGCUUCGGCUAUCACUNUUGGAUGGUCCCGCGGCGUAUUAGCUAGAUGGUGGGGUAACGGCUCACCAUGGCAAUGAUACGUAGCCGACCUGAGAGGGUAAUCGGCCACAUUGGGACUGAGACACGGCCNNAACUCCUACGGGAGGCAGCAGUAGGGAAUCUUCCACAAUGGACGAAAGUCUNAUGGAGCNACGCCGCGUGAGUGAAGAAGGGUUUCGGCUCGUAAAACUCUGUUGUUAAAGAAGAACAUAUCUGAGAGUAACUGUUCAGGUAUUGACGGUAUUUAACCAGAAAGCCACGGCUAACUACGUGCCAGCAGCCGCGGUAAUACGUAGGUGGCNAGCGUUGUCCGGAUUUAUUGGGCGUCAAGCGAGCGCAGGCGGNCNUUUNAGUCUGAUGUGAAANNNUUCGGC